GGAUCUUUGACGUAUCUCCGUAAAAGUAUGAGCAUCGUAAACAUUAAGUCUGAGAACAAGUCAUAACGACGCUGAAUGUUUUCUAAACGUUUGAACCUUGGGAACUCUUCGUCUUUAGACCCCCAUAAAGCAAGACAAGAACGCCUUGUGCACGGAGUUUCUUUAGAAGUUGGCUGACUGUCUGGCUUCACAUAGUAACGUGUCGUGAGGACAGCGCAGCCCCAGUUGCAGAGGACCAGGACGACAAGUGGAGGAGUCGCUUUCUAUGAGCUGAGAAUAAAUUGCUUACGAGUUCUUUCGCUGCAGAUAUUCCACGUUGCACAGGUUACAAGGUGCCAAAAUGUGCAAUUGCAGCCACCUGAUAAAAACCCCGACGAGACAACGGGAUGCUCGUAACGGCGGAGGAGCAGACAGAUCCCCUCAAAGCGAAACAGAAAUGGAGGAUGAUCCUCUUGAAAGAAACACGGAGAGGUGGAGAUGCCGGACGUGCAUUUUGAAAGCGGCGCCGGCGAACUUCAUUAC